UACGGGGGGGGCAAGCGUUGUUCGGAUUUACUGGGCGUAAAGGGCGCGUAGGCGGCCAGCACAAGUCAGUUGUGAAAUCUCCGAGCUUAACUCGGAAAGGUCAACUGUUACUGUGCGGCUAGAGUGCAGAAGGGGCAACUGGAAUUCUCGGUGUAGCGGUGAAAUGCGUAGAUAUCGAGAGGAACACCUGCGGCGAAGGCGGGUUGCUGGGCUGACACUGACGCUGAGGCGCGAAAGCUAGGGGAGCGAACGGG
rnacentral:rRNA from 1 species